rnacentral:ncRNA from 1 species
UCGCGCUUGUCGUCCGGCCGUCACGGCAGCCGGGCCAACGCGCAUAGAUAAUCUGGUCGCACCGCUGCCCCACAAGGGCACCGACAGGCGCAUCACAGAUAUCACCGAAUGACUUCGGAGUGAUCUGGCGCAGUUUCCCGGCUGAAUUCCAAAGGCCUCGGCCGGGCGACGUGAGUUGUGCGAUAUAGCG